GGAUAACUCCGGGAAACCGGGGCUAAUACCGGAUGGUUGUUUGAACCGCAUGGUUCAAACAUAAAAGGUGGCUUCGGCUACCACUUACAGAUGGACCCGCGGCGCAUUAGCUAGUUGGUGAGGUAACGGCUCACCAAGGCAACGAUGCGUAGCCGACCUGAGAGGGUGAUCGGCCACACUGGGACUGAGACACGGCCCAGACUCCUACGGGAGGCAGCAGUAGGGAAUCUUCCGCAAUGGACGAAAGUCUGACGGAGCAACGCCGCGUGAGUGAUGAAGGUUUUCGGAUCGUAAAGCUCUGUUGUUAGGGAAGAACAAGUACCGUUCGAAUAGGGCGGUACCUUGACGGUACCUAACCAGAAAGCCACGGCUAACUACGUGCCAGCAGCCGCGGUAAUACGUAGGUGGCAAGCGUUGUCCGGAAUUAUUGGGCGUAAAGGGCUCGCAGGCGGUUUCUUAAGUCUGAUGUGAAAGCCCCCGGCUCAACCGGGGAGGGUCAUUGGAAACUGGGGAACUUGAGUGCAGAAGAGGAGAGUGGAAUUCCACGUGUAGCGGUGAAAUGCGUAGAGAUGUGGAGGAACACCAGUGGCGAAGGCGACUCUCUGGUCUGUAACUGACGCUGAGGAGCGAAAGCGUGGGGAGCGAACAGGAUUAGAUACCCUGGUAGUCCACGCCGUAAACGAUGAGUGCUAAGUGUUAGGGGGUUUCCGCCCCUUAGUGCUGCAGCUAACGCAUUAAGCACUCCGCCUGGGGAGUACGGUCGCAAGACUGAAACUCAAAGGAAUUGACGGGGGCCCGCACAAGCGGUGGAGCAUGUGGUUUA
rnacentral:rRNA from 1 species